rnacentral:rRNA from 1 species
UACGAAGGGGGCUAGCGUUGCUCGGAAUUACUGGGCGUAAAGGGCGCGUAGGCGGUUCUGUUAGUCAGGCGUGAAAUCCUGGGCUCAACCUGGGGGCUGCGCUUGAUACGGCGGAACUAGAGGAUGGAAGAGGCUCGUGGAAUUCCCAGUGUAGAGGUGAAAUUCGUAGAUAUUGGGAAGAACACCGGUGGCGAAGGCGGCGAGCUGGUCCAUUACUGACGCUGAGGCGCGACAGCGUGGGGAGCAACAGG